CGCGUGCCUAUCAUGCGAGUUGAGCGCUGAAGGUUGGUACUUGUACCGACUGGAUGAGCAGCGAACGCGUUAGUAACGCGUGGAGGAAUCUGCCUUUGAGCGGGGGACAACAUUUGGAAACGAAUGCUAAUACCGCAUAACAACUUUAAACACAAGUUUUAAGUUUGAAAGAUGCAAUUGCAUCACUCAAAGAUGAUCCCGCGUUGUAUUAGCUAGUUGGGGAGGUAAAGGCUCACCAAGGCGAUGAUACAUAGCCCACCUGAGAGGGGGAUCGGCCACUUUGAGACUGACACACCGCCCAAACUCCUACGGGAGGCAGCAGUAGGGAAUCUGCGGCAAUGGACGAAAGUCUGACCGAGCAACGCCGGGUGAGUGAAGAAGGUUUUCGGAUCGAACAACUCUGUUGGUAGAAAAAAACGUUGGUGAGAGUGGAAAGCUCAGCCCGUGACGGUCACCACCCACAAAGGGACAGCUAACAUACGUGCCAGCCCCCGCGGGGAUACGUAGCGUCCCGAGCGAUGUCAGGAUUUGUUGCGCGGAAAGCGAGCGCAGGCGGUUUAUUAAUUCGGGUGUAAAAGGUAGUGGCUCAACCAUUGUGUGCAGUGCAAACUGGGAUACUUGAGAGCAGGAGAAGAGAGAGCAACUCACUGUGUAGACGUCGACAUGCAUAGAUAGAAGGAGGAACACCGGUGAGCAUGGCUGCUCUCUGCGCUGUCAAGGACACUGACGCUCUAAAGCGAGAGGAGCAGAUAUGAUCAGAGACGCUG
rnacentral:rRNA from 1 species